rnacentral:rRNA from 1 species
GACGUAGGGGGCCAGCGUUGCUCGGAAUUACUGGGUGUAAAGGGUUCGUAGGCGGUGCGGCAAGUCGGGAGUGAAAUCUCUGGGCUCAACCCAGAGGCUGCUUCCGAAACUGCUGUGCUUGAGUGUGGGAGAGGCGCGUGGAAUUGCAGGUGUAGCGGUGAAAUUCGUAGAUAUUCGCAAGAACACCAGUGGCGAAGGCGGCGCGCUGGACCACUACUGACGCUGAGGAACGAAAGCUAGGGGAGCAAACAGG